AGUAGAGAUGGGCAUCGAGGCGGGCUGCGGCUUCUGCCAGUUCCCGAGCACUGCACGAGGGUGUGGGCACCUCAAAGGUUUCGUGGAAGCUGGCGUAGUCCACCUCAUAGAACCCAUCCUCCAGGGUGAGCACGGAUGUGAACCGGUGGCCCCACAACACUUCAUCCACCAGAGCCGCCUCCACCCACCCCCAAGCAUUCCCAGACAAUUGGCUGAACUGAUUACACCCCAGGAUUGAAAGCUCACCAUCUCAUUAAAAGUCCAGUCCUUUGUGCGAUGGUGCCAAUAGUCUUUACAAAUGUGUUUUACAUUUAUGUGUCUAUAUGCGUGCAUGUGUAUGUAUGUGGAGGUCAGAGGACAACUUGGGGAGACAGUUGACUCCUCAAUGUGAGACCUGGUAAUUCAACUCAGGUCAGUAGUCAGGCGUGGU
rnacentral:lncRNA from 1 species